rnacentral:tRNA from 1 species
GGCAGUGUAGUAUAACGGGUACGGAACUGGGCUCGUAACCUCGAGGUCAUGGGUUCGAUUCCCGGGUAGGACACUGCCA